CGAAAACAGCGUUACUCAAUGAAACAGUUCACUUUCGAUUCAAUUUACCUGUUAUACGCUGCUCUUGAUGCUCGAAAGAAAUGGCAUUAACCACGAAAACCCAUUCUUUUGAUCAAUUUUCUUCGUUGCCGUUCUUCCGAGGCUCUUCGAUCACUCCGCUCGAGUUCAUGGUGUCGUAAUGAGGUUGAGAAUUGACCACAACCGUAUUACAUAUCGCCAAUACGAUUAGAAAUUCUUGAAGAUGUUGCCUAAAUGUACCUAUAAGAAGAUCUUCCUUCAAUCGCGAAGAAGUGAGCGUGCCAGUUUUAUCAGAGAAUAUAUACUGCACCUAUAUUAAGAAUAAAAAAAAAAAAAAAAGAAGAAAAAAAAAAAGGGAAAAA